rnacentral:lncRNA from 1 species
CAGGCCAUUUUCAGUGGGUGUCGCUAAGUCUUGAGGCCCCAUCUGGAGCUGGCCAGGUACAACUCAGAGAUCUACAUGGUUCCUUUCUGGGGACUUGCUCUCAGUUCAAUCUUUACCUGAGCCUCCCUGGGCACCAGGGACCCGUUCUUCCGGGCCAUCUGGAGCUGGCCCCACCCUGCAGGGUUGACCUCUGGGGGCCUGGGUGGGGGAGGACAGCCCAGCUCCCACCCUGUCUCUGGGCCUGGGUGCUGUUCAGAGGGAGGACGGGGUGGGGGCUCCUUUGGGUGGGGUGGGGUCGGUCCAGCUGCUGAGAUCCUCUGCCCCUGUCCUGUGGCCGGUCCGGGCCAGGGCAGCACUGGGCGCUCAGGGCUGGGAUCCCUGGUGGCCGGCGGGGCCAGCAGGUAUUGAUUGUUGGUUCUUAUUUAUAGAGCACCGGGGGUGGACGCGGCGCUUUGCAAAACCAAAAAGACACAGUGCUGCCGCGACGCGCUAUUGAGAGGGAGGAGGGCCAGCUGCAGCUGUGUUCCCGUCAUAGGGAGAGCUGAGACGCCCCGCCCGCCCUCCUCUGCCCCUCCCCCGCAGACAGACGCACGGGACAGCGGCCUGGCCCACGCAGAGCCCCGGAGCACGACGGGGUCGGGGGAGGAGCACUC